GUGGGGAAUCUUGCGCAAUGGGCGAAAGCCUGACGCAGCCAUGCCGCGUGAAUGAUGAAGGUCUUAGGAUUGUAAAAUUCUUUCACCGGGGACGAUAAUGACGGUACCCGGAGAAGAAGCCCCGGCUAACUUCGUGCCAGCAGCCGCGGUAAUACGAAGGGGGCUAGCGUUGCUCGGAAUUACUGGGCGUAAAGGGCGCGUAGGCGGACAGUUUAGUCAGAGGUGAAAGCCCAGGGCCCAACCUUGGAAUUGCCUUUGAUACUGGCUGUCUUGAGUACGGGAGAGGUGAGUGGAACUCCGAGUGUAGAGGUGAAAUUCGUAGAUAUUCGGAAGAACACCAGUGGCGAAGGCGACUCACUGGCCCGUUACUGACGCUGAGGCGCGAAAGCGUGGGGAGCAAACAGGAUUAGAUACCCUAGUAGUCC
rnacentral:rRNA from 1 species